ensembl:lncRNA
AAAGACAGAGAGGAAAGACAAAGAGUAAAGACAGAGAGAAAGACAGAGAGUAAAGACAGAGAGUAAAGACAGAGAGGAAAGACAGAGAGGAAAGACAAAGAGUAAAGACAGAGAGUAAAGACAGAGAGUAAAGACAGACAGUAAAGACAGAGAGGAAAGACAGAGAGGAAAGACAAAGAGUAAAGACAGAGAGUAAAGACAGAGAGAAAGACAGAAAUACAGAGAGAAAGACAGAGAGUAAAGAAAGAGAAAGACAGAGAGAAAGACAGAGAGAAAAGACAGAGAGUAAAGACAGACAGAAAGACAGAGAGAAAAGACAGAGAGAAAAGACAGAGAGAAAGACAGAGAAGAAAGACAGAAAUACAGAGAGUAAAGACAGACAGAAAGACAGAGAGAAAGACAGAGAGAAAAGACAGAGAGUAAAGACAGACAGAAAGACAGAGAGAAAAGACAGAGAGAAAAGACAGAGAGAAAGACAGAGAGUAAAGACAGAGAAAGACAGAGUAAAGACAGAGAGUAAAGACAGAAAGUAAAGACAGAGAGAAAGACAGAGAGUAAAGACAGAGAGAAAGAUAAAAAAAAUACCAACAUUUUGUUUGAACAAAUGCGGAUAAAAAAUAAAGUGAGCCAUUGAGCGAUUAAAGUGCCAAGUGCAGAGACUUCAAGAGGUGUGGUCUGAGUGGUUAAGCUCUCACUACGAACAGUCUAGACGCCACAAACCAAGGACUUUAUCAAACGAUACAAGGUGCUGUAAGAUUUUACUUGGCCUCCUGUAAACACAAGGGGACAGUUUAUUCUUCUUGUGUUCUGGAGAGAGCGGCCGGCCGGCCGGCUAACUAGCGCCCCUGCAUCCAGGCCCCUACCCAUAAACCCUGUUCUCCAAGCCACGCAGGCCAGGCGACCCCCUCCCUCUGACAUUGCCGGACACUCAAAUGGAGAUGCAUUGUUCACACAAUGUCUUUAUGGGUAUGACUGGUCCAUUAAUUAUAGAACACCCUA